rnacentral:tRNA from 1 species
CCGGGGUGCGGAUCGGCGACGCCCCGGCCCUGGCGUGGCGGGGGCUGUCACUGGACGUGGCGCGGCGGUUCUUCACCGUCGCCCAGGUC